rnacentral:rRNA from 1 species
GACGCAACGCGAAGAACCUUACCAAGGCUUGACAUACACCGGAAACGUCCGGAGACAGGCGCCCCCUUGUGGUCGGUGUACAGGUGGUGCAUGGCUGUCGUCAGCUCGUGUCGUGAGAUGUUGGGUUAAGUCCCGCAACGAGCGCAACCCUUGUCCCGUGUUGCCAGCAGGCCCUUGUGGUGCUGGGGACUCACGGGAGACCGCCGGGGUCAACUCGGAGGAAGGUGGGGACGACGUCAAGUCAUCAUGCCCCUUAUGUCUUGGGCUGCACACGUGCUACAAUGGCCGGUACAAUGAGCUGCGAUACCGUGAGGUGGAGCGAAUCUCAAAAAGCCGGU